rnacentral:rRNA from 1 species
GACGAACGCUGGCGGCGUGCUUAACACAUGCAAGUCGAACGGAAAGGCCCUGCUUUUGUGGGGUGCUCGAGUGGCGAACGGGUGAGUAACACGUGAGUAACCUGCCCUUGACUUUGGGAUAACUUCAGGAAACUGGGGCUAAUACCGGAUAGGAGCUCCUGCUGCAUGGUGGGGGUUGGAAAGUUUCGGCGGUUGGGGAUGGACUCGCGGCUUAUCAGCUUGUUGGUGGGGUAGUGGCUUACCAAGGCUUUGACGGGUAGCCGGCCUGAGAGGGUGACCGGCGACAUGGGGACUGAGGUACGGCCCAGACUCCUACGGGCGGCAGCGGUGGGGAAUAUUGCACAGUGGGCGGAAGCCUGAUGCAGCAACCCCGCGUGCGGGAUGACGGCCUUCGGGUUGUAAACCGCUUUCGCCUGUGACGAAGCGUGAUUGACGGUAAUGGGUAAAGAAGCACCGGCUAACUACGUG